CCUACGGGUGGCAGCAGUGAGGAAUAUUGGUCAAUGGGCGCGAGCCUGAACCAGCCAAGUAGCGUGAAGGAUGACUGCCCUACGUGUUGUAACCUUCUUUUAUAAAGGAAUUAAGUACGGCACGUUUGCCUUUUUGUAUGUACUUUAUGACUACGGCUCGCCUAACUCCGUGCAAGCAGCCGCGGUAAUACGGAGGAUCCGCGCGUUAUCCGGAUUUAUUGGGUUUAAAGGGAGCGUAGAUGGGUGGUUAAGUCAGUUGUGAAAGUUUGCGGCUCAACCGUAAAAUUGCAAUUGAUACUGGCAGCCUGGAGUACAGUUGAGGUAGGCGGAAUUCGUGGUGUAGCGGUGAAAUGCUUAGAUAUCACGAAGAACUCCGAUUGCGAAGGCAGCCUACUAAACGGCCACUGACAUUGAUGCUCGAAAGUGUGGGGAUCAAACAGGAUUAGAUACCCCAGUAGUC
rnacentral:rRNA from 1 species